rnacentral:lncRNA from 1 species
UUGAAAUGCUUUAUCAUUGUACAUAGCUUAGGACUGAAUCAGCGUAAUAACGUUAUCAAGGUUUCUUGCUCAAUCAAGCUGCUCCAACUUGUUUAUGGUCUUCUUCACUUGGUACUGAAAACUUUUUUACUUUCUGAGACAAACAACAACAGAAGAUGAAUCAAGGCCUUGCUCAAUCUAAGAUCAAGCUGUCUUACAUCUAUGAGAAAGACUUAAGAAUCACAAAGAAGAAUUCAUAGUGAACUAGUGAAGCAUGCCAUAUGGAAAAACAAUUGUUCAAAAACUCCAAUUGAGGAAAUGUUGGAAAAAGAAAAGAACAAACCUUAGAUAGAACACAUUCUCAGAGAGAUUGCAGUAGAAUUAGACAUUUCUCUUGAUCGAAUUUCGAUUCCGAAACACAAUUGAGAAGAUUCACAGCUUCUUGUCGUCAAAUUGGUAGGGGAAGCUUUUUCUCCAUUAUCAUAAACCCUAAACUAAAAGUUUCUGCAAAAACAACUAUUUUAUCGAACUCUUAAUGGGCCAUCAAUGGGCCCAUACUUAUAAACUUAAACCCUUUUCCAAUUUCAG